CCUGCAGUGGGAGGGACAGACUCCAUGUCCCAUAGCUCCUUCUGUCUGUGUCACCCUGCAGUGGGAGGGACAGACUCCGUGUCCCAUAGCUCCUUCUGUCUGUGUCACCCUGCAGUGGGAGGGACAGACUCUGUGUCCCAUAGCUCCUUUUGUCUGUGUCACCCUGCAGUGGGAGGGACAGACUCCGUGUCCCAUAGCUCCUUUCUGUAUGUGUCACCCUGAAGUGGGAGGGACAUACUCCGUGUCCCAUAGCUCCCUCUGUCUGUGUCACCCUGCAGUGGGAGGGACAGACUCCGUGUCCCAUAGCUCCUUCUGUCUGUGUCACCCUGCAGUGGGAGGGACAGACUGUGUCCCAUAGCUCCUUCUGUCUGUGUCACCCUGCAGUGGGAGGGACAGACUCCGUGUCCCAUAGCUCAUUCUGUCUGUGUCACCCUGCAGUGGGAGGGACAGACUCCGUGUCCCAUAGCUCCUUCUGUCUGUGUCACCCUGCAGUGGGAGGGACAGACUCCGUGUCCCAUAGCUCCUUCUGUCUGUGCUACCCUGCAGUGGGAGGGACACACUGUGUCCCAUAGCUCCUUCUGUCUGUGUCACCCUGAAGUGGGAGGGACAGACUCUGUGUCCCAUAGCUCCUUCUGUCUGUGUCACCCUGCAGUGGGAGGGACAGACUGUGUGUCCCAUAGCUCCUUCUGUCUGUGUCAUCCUGCAGUGGGAGGGACAGACUCUGUGUCCCAUAGCUCCUUCUGUCUGUGUCACCCUGCAGUGAGAGGGACAGACUCCGUGUCCCAUAGCUCCUUCUGUCUGUG